rnacentral:rRNA from 1 species
UACGAAGGGGGCUAGCGUUGUUCGGAAUUACUGGGCGUAAAGCGCACGUAGGCUGACAUUUAAGUGAGGGGUGAAAUCCCAAGGCUCAACCUUGGAACUGCCUUUCAUACUGGGUGUCUCGAGUCCGGAAGAGGUGAGUGGAAUUCCUAGUGUAGAGGUGAAAUUCGUAGAUAUUAGGAAGAACACCAGUGGCGAAGGCGGCUCACUGGUCCGGUACUGACGCUGAGGUGCGAAAGCGUGGGGAGCAAACAGG